AGAAGAAGACUUGUUGUGGAAGAUGAUCUUUGUUGUGCUCUUGCAAAGACUGCCCCCAGAAUUUCUGAUCUGGUGAGAAAGAAGCAAUCUCAACCUUCCCACUGACAUUGGCUUUUUAUGCAUACCAUCGCAAAAUGUAGCAAUGUAGUUUACUGUUGUUAUAUUAAAACUAUUACC